rnacentral:rRNA from 1 species
UACGUAGGGUGCGAGCGUUAAUCGGAAUUACUGGGCGUAAAGCGUGCGCAGGCGGCUCUAUAAGACAGAUGUGAAAUCCCCGGGCUCAACCUGGGAACUGCGUUUGUGACUGUAGGGCUCGAGUGUGGCAGAGGGGGGUGGAAUUCCACGUGUAGCAGUGAAAUGCGUAGAGAUGUGGAGGAACACCGAUGGCGAAGGCAGCCCCCUGGGUCAACACUGACGCUCAUGCACGAAAGCGUGGGUAGCAAAC